AGUGAACGCUGGCGGUAGGCCUAACACAUGCAAGUCGAACGGCAGCACAGUAAGAGCUUGCUCUUACGGGUGGCGAGUGGCGGACGGGUGAGGAAUACAUCGGAAUCUACUUUUUCGUGGGGGUUACGGUAGGGAAACUAACGCUAAUACCGCAUACGACUUACGGGGGAAAGCAGGGGAUCUUCGGACCUUGCGCGAUUGAUUGAGCCGAUGUCGGAUUAGCUAGUUGGCGGGGUAAAGGCCCACCAAGGCGACGAUCCGUAGCUGGUCUGAGAGGAUGAUCAGCCACACUGGAACUGAGACACGGUCCAGACUCCUACGGGAGGCAGCAGUGGGGAAUAUUGGACAAUGGGCGCAAGCCUGAUCCAGCCAUACCGCGUGGGUGAAGAAGGCCUUCGGGUUGUAAAGCCCUUUUGUUGGGAAAGAAAAGCAGCAGGUUAAUACCCCGCCGUUCUGACGGUACCCAAAGAAUAAGCACCGGCUAACUUCGUG
rnacentral:rRNA from 1 species